UUUGCGGCGGUCAUGGCCCAGGUGAGACGCCCGGCUCCAUUCCGAACCCGGAAGCUAAGGCCUGGCACGGCAAUGGUACUGCACCCGACAGAGUGUGGGAGAGUAGCACACCGCCGCAUCAA
rnacentral:rRNA from 1 species